rnacentral:rRNA from 1 species
UACGUAGGGUGCGAGCGUUAAUCGGAAUUACUGGGCGUAAAGCGUGCGCAGGCGGUUUACUAAGACAGGUGUGAAAUCCCCGGGCUUAACCUGGGAAUGGCGCUUGUGACUGGUAGGCUAGAGUACGUCAGAGGGGGGUGGAAUUCCACGUGUAGCAGUGAAAUGCGUAGAGAUGUGGAGGAACACCGAUGGCGAAGGCAGCCCCCUGGGAUGAUACUGACGCUCAGGCACGAAAGCGUGGGGAGCAAACAGG